rnacentral:rRNA from 1 species
UAGGUCGGAAGAGUUUGACUUGCUUUUUGGGGGAAAUUUUGAGGGAUGAUACCCGAUAAUAUGUGGGAUGCGAUCGAUUCGGAGAUUGAAAACUCCGGUGGAUAGAGGAUGGCACGCGCAAGAUUAAUAGUUGGUAGGUAGCGGUCAGCAAGGUCUAGGAGUCUUAGGGGGCCUAGAGGUUAGUCCCAGAGUGGUAUAGAGAGGAGCAGAGUUCCUAGGAGGAAUAGGAGUAUUGAAGUGUUAGAGCCUUAGUCCAGGCAGUCCCGCGUAAGGNACAGCUGCCCUAUGGGUUGUAAACUUCUUUUGUAUAGGGGAUAAACCUACCCUCGUUGAGGGUAGCUGAAGGGUACUAUACNAAUAAGCACCGGGUUAACUCCGUGCCAAGCGGGGUAAUACGGAGGGGUGCAAGCGUUAUCCGGAUUUAGUUGGGUUAAGAGGGGUCCGAGGGGGAGUCUUGUAAGUCAGGUGUAAGAGUCUCAGCAGGUUAAUUGUAGAAGUUGCAGUUAGUAUGGAGGGGUCUUUGAGGUGUUGGUAAGGUAGCCUUGAAGUAAGGUAGUUGUAGCCGGUUANAAGUGCAUUAAAGUUUUUAGCUUAAGAAAG